GGGAAAUUUUACUGUAGUUAAUUACAUAGUAAUUGAAAAAAUAUGUGUAAAACCUUGCAGGGCUCCUGUUAGGUGUUGCCAUGUGAUUUCAGCCCAGUGUUCUGAAUGUCAAAAUGAAGAAAUUCAAUGAAGCAUGGGUAACUAUGAGUUUUUUAAGGUAGCCAAAUGCCUUGUCAUCUAGUGAUGAGCAUGAAUGGAUGAAUGAGAUUCCC
rnacentral:ncRNA from 1 species